AUUGAACGCUGGCGGAAUGCUUUACACAUGCAAGUCGAACGGCAGCACGGACUUCGGUCUGGUGGCGAGUGGCGAACGGGUGAGUAAUACAUCGGAACGUGCCCAAUCGUGGGGGCUAACGUAGCGAAAGCUACGCUAAUACCGCAUACGAUCUAAGGAUGAAAGCGGGGCAUCGCAAGCCCUCGCGCGAUUGGAGCGGCCGAUGGCAGAUUAGGUAGUUGGUAGGGUAAAGGCCUACCAAGCCGACGAUCUGUAGCUGGUCGGAGAGGAUGAUCAGCAACACUGGGACUGAGACACGGCCCAGACUCCUACGGGAGGCAGCAGUGGGGAAUUUUGGACAAUGGACGCAAGUCUGAUCCAGCCAUUCCGCGUGCAGGAUGAAGGCCCUCGGGUUGUAAACUGCUUUUGUACAGAACGAAAAGGCUCUGGUUAAUACCUAGGGCUCAUGACGGUACUGUAAGAAUAAGCACCGGCUAACUACGUGCCAGCCGCCGCGGUAA
rnacentral:rRNA from 1 species